rnacentral:lncRNA from 1 species
AGUGAGAAUCGAGCCACCGGAAAGCAGUAGAACCCUAGGUUAAACCACCAGAAACCCUAGAAGCCGAUAGGUCACCGAGAAACCACCCAAAAUCAGCACAAAAACUCUCAGAAUGUUCGGGUGAAGAGAAUAUACUCAAAUAUCAUGACGAAAAACUCGAAAAAACAUCCGAUCUAGGUCAAAACCAUCAUCGACCAUAAGGUCUCAGAAAAAGCCCUAGAAAAUCUCAAAAAGAGUUCAACCAAGACAACGAGAUGUAGAGAAACAUAAUCGGAUCGUAAGGUCUCAGAAAAAGCCCUAGAAAAUCUCAAAAAGAGUUCAACCAAGACAACGAGAUGUAGAGAAACAUGAUCGGAUCGUCGUCUAGGCUCUGAUACCAUGUAAACAUCGAUAUUAGA